AUUGAACGCUGGCGGCAUGCUUUACACAUGCAAGUCGAACGGUAACAGGCCUUCGGGUGCUGACGAGUGGCGAACGGGUGAGUAAUGCAUCGGAACGUACCCAGAGGUGGUGGAUAACGCAGCGAAAGCUGUGCUAAUACUGCAUGUGAUCUGAGGAUGAAAGCGGGGGAGGGGGCAGCAAUGUUUGGCCUCGCGCCUUUGGAGCGGCCGAUGUCGGAUUAGCUAGUUGGUGGGUUAAAGGCCUAGCAAGGCGAGGAUCCGUAGCUGGUCUGAGAGGCCGACCAGCCACCCUGGGACUGAGCCACGCCCCAUACUCCUACGGGAGGCCGCAGUGUGCAAUGUUGGACAACGGGCGCAAGCCUUAUCCAGCAAUGCGGCGUGCGGGACGAAGGCCUUCCGUUUGUAAUCACCUUCUGGCAGGAACGAAACGGUGUCCGCUAAUACCGGGCGCUAAUGACGGUACCUGCAGAAUAAGCACCGGCUAACUACGUG
rnacentral:rRNA from 1 species